rnacentral:rRNA from 1 species
GAUGAACGCUGGCGGCGUGCCCAAUACAUGCAAGUCGAGCGAAUGGAUUAAGAGCUUGCUCUUAUGAAGUUAGCGGCGGACGGGUGAGUAACACGUGGGUAACCUGCCCAUAAGACUGGGAUAACUCCGGGAAACCGGGGCUAAUACCGGCUAACAUUUUGAACCGCAUGGUUCGAAAUUGAAAGGCGGCUUCGGCUGUCACUUAUGGAUGGACCCGCGUCGCAUUAGCUAGUUGGUGAGGUAACGGCUCACCAAGGCAGCGAUGCGUAGCCGACCUGAGAGGGUGAUCGGCCACACUGGGACUGAGACACGGCCCAGACUCCGACGGGAGGCAGCAGUAGGGAAUCUUCCGCAAUGGACGAAAGUCUGACGGAGCAACGCGGCGUGAGUGAUGAAGGCUUUCGGGUCGUAAAACUCUGUUGUUAGGGAAGAACAAGUGCUAGUUGAAUAAGCUGGCACCUUGACGGUACCUAACCAGAAAGCCACGGCUAACUACGUGCCAGCCGCCGCGGUAA